AAUUCAAAAUACUGAAUACUCCAAAAAUUAAGCAUACCUCCUUCGCCUUCUUGGCCGCCAGCUUUGCAUGAUACUUUUCAAGCUUAGCCGCCUUUUGGCGUUCACGCUCUACUAUAUAGAUGUUAGAAAUGAUAAGGUGAUGCAUAUGAAUUUGUAUUUCAACAACUCACAUUCUUUCUCGGUUUUAGGCCUAGGCUCACCAGAACCAGGUGCGGAAGAAUCCUUCAAUUAUUAGAAACCAAUUGACAAAAGUUCAACUCACCUUAGACUGAGCAGCUUCACAGCCUUUGUCUGCCAUUGGAAAAGUGUGUUGUUGAAAGAAUUGUUCGGGUGCAAUAAAAAGUCACAUAACGAACUUGUCAUUAAACGUUACAAGUGAUUAAAGGAUUUGCAUUACGCUGCACUCCCCGGUUAACGAAUUUUAAGACACUUGAAAUCAAUAAUGAAUCCUUGUAAACAGCGUUCGUUAUCUACAUGUUUUUUUUAAUAUCAUUUAAAUUUUUGCAUAUUUAUUAGUAUAAAUUGAACAGUAGUUGGUUCUCUUUUAAUUAUGCUUCAUCGGUCUCCUUGUUGCUGAGAGCAAAAUGUUUGCACUCAUCAACAAGCAUGGUUUAAAUGUCGUCGUUAUUGCACUCUUAAUAGAUGGCUUUUAUAGUUGAUAGCUAUGAUUUUGUUAAUUUCAAGUAGCAAUUUUUAAUUUGAUUUGUUUAAUCUUUGCAAAUCAGCAGGAAUAUCAGCAUCACUACAACAAAUCAAGGACUAUAAAGUAGGAUGGAAAAAAGAAGUCCUGAGACAAGAUUCAACGUAAAGGUGCAAAAGUUUAAUAAAAGAAUUUAGUUUAUAGCAUUGGAUUGUUAAAAAAUCGUCUUAUCGACCAGUAGUAUAAAAAGAU